UAACAGGAAACAGCUUGCUGUUUCGCUGACGAGUGGCGGACGGGUGAGUAAUGUCUGGGAAACUGCCUGAUGGAGGGGGAUAACUACUGGAAACGGUAGCUAAUACCGCAUAAUGUCGCAAGACCAAAGAGGGGGACCUUCGGGCCUCUUGCCAUCGGAUGUGCCCAGAUGGGAUUAGCUAGUAGGUGGGGUAACGGCUCACCUAGGCGACGAUCCCUAGCUGGUCUGAGAGGAUGACCAGCCACACUGGAACUGAGACACGGUCCAGACUCCUACGGGAGGCAGCAGUGGGGAAUAUUGCACAAUGGGCGCAAGCCUGAUGCAGCCAUGCCGCGUGUAUGAAGAAGGCCUUCGGGUUGUAAAGUACUUUCAGCGGGGAGGAAGGGAGUAAAGUUAAUACCUUUGCUCAUUGACGUUACCCGCAGAAGAAGCACCGGCUAACUCCGUGCCAGCAGCCGCGGUAAUACGGAGGGUGCAAGCGUUAAUCGGAAUUACUGGGCGUAAAGCGCACGCAGGCGGUUUGUUAAGUCAGAUGUGAAAUCCCCGGGCUCAACCUGGGAACUGCAUCUGAUACUGGCAAGCUUGAGUCUCGUAGAGGGGGGUAGAAUUCCAGGUGUAGCGGUGAAAUGCGUGGAGAUCUGGAGGAAUACCGGUGGCGAAGGC
rnacentral:rRNA from 1 species